rnacentral:piRNA from 1 species
UGGGGACCUUGCCAGUGUUUACACCGGACA